UACGUAGGCAGCAAGCGUUGUUCGGAAUUACUGGGCGUAAAGAGUGUGUAGGCGGUGCUCUAAGUUCGGUGUGAAAUCUCCCGGCUCAACUGGGAGGGUGCGCCGAAUACUGAGAGGCUAGAGUGCGGGAGAGGAAAGUGGAAUUCCUGGUGUAGCGGUGAAAUGCGUAGAUAUCAGGAGGAACACCGGUGGUGUAAACGGCUUUCUGGACCGUAACUGACGCUGAUGCACGAAAGCGUGGGUAGCAAACAGG
rnacentral:rRNA from 1 species